GAUGAACGCUAGCGGCAGGCUUAACACAUGCAAGUCGAGGGGUAUAGGGAGCUUGCUUCCUAGAGACCGGCGCACGGGUGCGUAACGCGUAUGCAAUCUACCUUUUGCAGAGGAUAGCCCAGAGAAAUUUGGAUUAAUACCUCAUAGUAUAGCAGUUUCGCAUGAAACCACUAUUAAAGUCACAACGGCAAAAGAUGAGCAUGCGUCCCAUUAGCUUGUUGGUAAGGUAACGGCUUACCAAGGCAACGAUGGGUAGGGGUCCUGAGAGGGAGAUCCCCCCANACUGGUACUGAGACACGGACCAGACUCCUACGGGAGGCAGCAGUGAGGAAUAUUGGACAAUGGGCGCAAGCCUGAUCCAGCCAUGCCGCGUGCAGGAUGACGGUCCUAUGGAUUGUAAACUGCUUUUAUACAGGAAGAACACUACUUCGUGAAGUAGCUUGACGGUACUGUAAGAUAAGGAUCGGCUAACUCGU
rnacentral:rRNA from 1 species